GACGAACGCUGGCGGCGUGCUUAACACAUGCAAGUCGAACGGAAAGGCCCUGCUUUUGUGGGGUGCUCGAGUGGCGAACGGGUGAGUAACACGUGAGUAACCUGGCCUUGACUUUGGGAUAACUUCAGGAAACUGGGGCUAAUACCGGAUAGGAGCUCCUGCUGCAUGGGGGGGGUUGGAAAGUUUCGGCGGUUGGGGAUGGACUCGCGGCUUAUCAGCUUGUUGGUGGGGUAGUGGCUUACCAAGGGUUUGACGGGUAGCCGGCCUGGGAGGGUGACCGGCCACAUUGGGACUGCGAUACGGCCCAGACUCCUACGGGAGGCAGCAGUGGGGAAUAUUGCACAAUGGGCGGAAGCCUGAUGCAGCAACGCCGCGUGCGGGAUGACGGCCUUCGGGUUGUAAACCGCUUUCGCCUGUGACGAAGCGUGAGUGACGGUAAUGGGUAAAGAAGCACCGGCUAACUACGUG
rnacentral:rRNA from 1 species